rnacentral:rRNA from 1 species
UCCCACAAGAAGUUUCCUUUUUCGGAAUUUAUUGGGUCGUAAAACGCCAGUAUUGCGUGUUUGUUAAGUCAGAUGUGCCCCAUAAAAAAAAAAGAAAACUGGGAACUGCAUCUGAUACUGGCUCGUUAUGAAAUCUCCCCCAAAGCGGGGUAGAAUUCCAGGUGUAGCGGUGAAAUGCGUAUAAAAUCUGGAGGAAUACCUCUCAUAGAAGGCGGCCCCGUGAACGAAAACUCCA